rnacentral:rRNA from 1 species
AUUAGAUAAAAAACCAACGCCCUUCGGGGCUCCUUGGUGAAUCAUAAUAACUUAACGAAUCGCAUGGCCUUGCGCCGGCGAUGGUUCAUUCAAAUUUCUGCCCUAUCAACUUUCGAUGGUAGGAUAGUGGCCUACCAUGGUGGCAACGGGUAACGGGGAAUUAGGGUUCGAUUCCGGAGAGGGAGCCUGAGAAACGGCUACCACAUCCAAGGAAGGCAGCAGGCGCGCAAAUUACCCAAUCCCGAUACGGGGAGGUAGUGACAAUAAAUACUGAUACGGGGCUCUUUUGGGUCUCGUAAUUGGAAUGAGAACAAUUUAAAUCCCUUAACGAGGAACAAUUGGAAGGCAAGUCUGGUGCCAGCAGCCGCGGUAAUUCCAGCUCCAAUAGCGUAUAUUAAAGUUGUUGCAGUUAAAAAGCUCGUAGUUGAACCUUGGCCCUGGCUGGCCGGUCCGCCUCACCGCGAGUACUGGUCCGGCUGGGGCUUUCCUUCUGGGGAACCUCAUGGCCUUCACUGGC